CUAGGAUGAACGCUGGCGGCGUGCCUAAUACAUGCAAGUCGAACGAGGUAGCAAUACCGAGUGGCGAAACGGGUGAGUAACACGUAGGUAACCUGCCUUACAGUUUGGGAUACCCUGGCGAAAGCUAGGCUAAUACCGAAUAAUUGGAUUGGAGGCAUCUCCGACCUCUAAAAGGGGCCCUUAAAGCCUCGCUGAAUGAUGGACCUGCGGCGCAUUAGCUAGUUGGUGAGAUAAUAGCCCACCAAGGCGAGGAUGCGCAGCCGACCUGAGAGGGUGAACGGCCACACUGGAACUGAGACACGGUCCAGACUCCUACGGGAGGCAGCAGUAGGGAGUUUUCGGCAAUGGGGGCAACCCUGACCGAGCAACGCCGCGUGAAUGAUUGAAGGUCUUCGGAUUGUAAAGUUCUGUUAUAAGGGAAAAAUGAUAGGGUGAGGAAAUGCUCUCUAUUUGAUGGUACCUUAUUAGAAAGCCACGGCUAACUACGUGCCAGCCGCUGC
rnacentral:rRNA from 1 species